GAUGAUCUCCUUUGUUUUCUUGGUGUUCAGAGCCAGGUUAUUUGCGGAGCACCAGUUUGUGAGCUUCUGGACCUCCUCCCUAUAGGCUAUCUCGUCACCAUUCGAGAUCAGCCUGACCACUGUGGUGUCAUCAGCAAAUUUUACAAUCAUGUUGUUGCCGAGUGAGCGAACAUGGCUGGUCAUCCAGGGUUUCUGGUUGGGAAAGACCCGAAUGGUUUUGUCCACACAUACAGUUCCCAUGCAGAACUUGAUGUAGUCCAGAACUGUCUGUGAACAUAGCCAGGUCUUGGUGGUGAAAUAGGUCCCAGUCCGUGUUUUGAAGAAAAUCCUGGAGUUGGCUGAGUGCAUUUCCAGGCCAAGUUGUUACAGUCCUUGUGGUGGGCCUGGAUCUGCGUCUGAGAGGAGUGUAUGCGGGGAUGAGAAGCAAGGAGAGAUGGUCUGACUGUCCGAGGUGGGGGAGGGGCAUGGCUCUGUACCCGUGCUUGAUGUUGGAGUACACGUGGUCCAAAGUCCUUUCCCCUCUUGUUGGGCACUUAACGUGCUGGUGGAACUGUGGGAGUACAGUCUUCAGAUUGUUCCUAUUAAAGUCUCCUGCUAUUAUGUGAACACCAUCGGGGUGGACCCGCUGCUGUUCAUUGACGGUGUUCAGCAGGAGAGAGAGCGCCGUGCUAGCGUUAGCAUUUGGCGGGAUGUAAACAGCGGUGAUGAUCACCACUGUUAUCUCUCUCGGUA